rfam:Rattus norvegicus chromosome 17, whole genome shotgun sequence.
GGUGAUUUAGCUCAGUGGUAGAGCGCUUGCCUAGCAAGCACAAGGCCCUGGGUUCGGUCCCCAGCUCCG